rnacentral:lncRNA from 1 species
GGGAGACUCUAGGCGCUGCCAUCAUGUCGACGGCCAUGAACUUUGGGUCCAAGAGCUUCCAGCCGCGGCCACCGGACAAGGGCAGCUUCCCGCUGGAUCACUUUGGUGAAUGUAAAAGCUUUAAGGAGAAGUUCAUGAAGUGUCUCCGUGACAAUAACUUUGAAAAUGCUUUGUGCAGAAAUGAAUCAAAAGAAUAUUUAGAAUGCAGGAUGGAGAGGCAACUGAUGGCACAGGAGCCCCUGGAAAAACUGGGCUUUGGAGAUUUGAAGGACGGAAAGUCUGACCGAGACUGAACCUGGUGAAAGGCCGCACAGCUGUGGGGGGUCCGGACGACCCCGCCCCCGGCGGCUGGCGUGUUGGUACCACGGCUCGGGGUGGGGGGGCUCUGGGGGCGCCCGCCAGAUGCCGCUGGAAGUCAGAACGGACGCCCCUCCCCGAGGACGCAGCUCGUGGCCGGGCAGGGGCUGGUCUUCGACGCUCCCGAGGAUGUCGGAAACCCGUCGCCCCGCCACAGCCCUGCCGACCCCGCGGCGUUGGGUGCGUCUGAAGUCGCGGGUGUGACGGGCUCCCGCGGAGGUGGCUGCCAUGUGGCGUGCGCCCAGCGACUGGUCAGCUCGGGCUCCUGGGGACGCUGGUUCGCAUCGCGGUCUCGGCGCGUUUUGUGUGUGACGUGCGAAAGGGUCGCAGUGUCGUCGUUGGGCACAUGGGUCGUCGGGAAGUCGUCCCCCAGCACUCGGGUUCCUCUUCGUAUCUUGGACGCAGACACAAGUGCCCCUCACCUCCUUUUUUUAACAAGAACAGAGGACGAGCCCAGAAGUGGGAAAUGGGCUUUUGACGUAUCUGACGUCUCGAUUUUUUUUAUGGUGACGCCUGGCACCGAGUAUCUGUCUGAUCAAGGCUCGUUUUCUGGUUCAUAUCAGACCGUAUUUGUAAAACUAGAUGUUGGGUUGGUUCCAAGAACGCAUUUGCUGUCGCUGAGAGACAGAAUGUCUCCGUGGGUCAGUCGUUUUGCACAUGUGGCCUCCCAGGCCUUUGAGGACGCUCGUGAGCCCCCGGCCGGCGCUGCAGCAGCCCGUGCCCACUGCCCGCUGCCCGGAGCGCCGUCAGAACAGACGUCACAGGUGUGCAGACCUGCAGCGAGUGUCUGGGGUGACGCCGCGUGGGCUCAGAACCACAGCAGGGCGCCGUGCCCGAGGGUGAGGCCUGUUUGCCUGGACGAGGCCAGUGGGAGGUGGUGGUGGGAGGAUCCGGGUCGUCCCCGCUGGGACAGGGGCCGGCCAUGGCUGGUGGGGACAGCCAGCCCGAGCUCCGCUUCUGCCUGGUGACCAGGCUGGGCUCUGGGAAGCGCUGCUCCUUGGCUGCGUCCAGGCGCUGUCCGCGUCCUUCGGUGGAGGCCGUACGGGGUCACGCCCUCCCCGACAGUCCUGGUCCCAUUUCCGGGGGCGGAGGGGCCCCCUCACCUAGCACCGCUGCCCCGUUGGUGGUUCAGCGCCAAGCACUCCGUCUGUCACUCCUCAGCCGUGCUCUGCCUCACGCUUCCAAUUGUGCUGCACGUUUUUUCCGUAUUUUUAGUUAGUUUAUGAAAAGUCUUGGUUUUUGGUUACCUGAAUCACGAACAUAUUUUGUAUUUUCUUUUCAUUUUUUUUAGGGCCGCACCCAUGGCAUCUGGAGGUUCCCAGGCUAGGGGUCCAGUGGGAGCUGUAGCUGCCGGCCUACACCACAGCCACAACAAUGCCAGAUCCUCAGCGCACUGAGCAAGGCCAGGGAUCGAACCUGCAACCUCGGGGUUACUAGUCGGAUUUGUCUCCGCUGUGCGACAGUGGGAACUCUGAAAAUAUAUUGUAUUUUCCGACAUGUUGCACACGCACAGCGUUCGUUGUUUGUAAUUACAAAGCAUCAACAGACCUAAACGCCCCCCCUCAUCCCCUGAGCUGCUUGGAGACGGCGCCCUGAGCAUCUGGAGUGGGCGCGUGAGGCCCAGAGAGCAUGGCAGUGGGGGUGGGGGCUGGACUAGGGAGACCCUUGCAUGCUGGAGCCAAAGAAACCGGGAGGGCAAAGCGGAUGCUAUGCGGACGGUCAGCACAGGGCAGGGUGGGGACGGGGGUGUCACCUCUCUGUGCCUCUGGGUGCCGUCGACUCAUGAGCGGACCGGCUGUGGGACAGCAGCAGUGACAGCCCUGUUGCCCAGGCAGGCCCUGCCCACCUGGAGGGGCUGGCGAGAUGGGGCUCGCCCAGGUAACCUUGGAAAACGGUGCUGCGACAAAAGCUGGGCACCGAGAGACAAGACUUGAAGUGCGCUUGUUUUUCACGAGGGCAGCAGUUCUGAGGCCCGAGUUCCGGGCUGGGAGAAGCUGGAGCUGUGUUGUGGGUAACGACAGCGACUGUGUGGGGUCCCGGAUCCCUGACGUCUGCAAAGGCAGCGGCUGGAGAAGUGGGUGGCAGCUGUGUGUGUGUGUGUGUGUGUCUGUCUGUCUGUCUGGACGUCUCCCCGGCUGUGGGCACUGAGGGGCUAGAGGCAGCGACCCCAGCAGCACGGUGCACCCCGCGGCCGGCUCUAGGUCUGAGGCAGCCCUCUCGGGAGGAACCAGGACUCCUGGAAGAAAUGGCUGAGUCCAGGCCCAAGGCCCAGAAAGCCAGGGGAGCCUCUUACGCCGGAAAGGUAGGAAUUGCUGGAGUUCCCUCUGUGGCUCAGUGGUUGAUGAACCUGACUAGUAUCCAUGAGAACAUGGGUUCGAUCCCUGUCCUCGCUCCGUGGGUGAAGGAUCUGGCAUUGCCGUGAGCUGUGGUGAAGGUCGCAGACAAGGCUCGGAUCCUGCGUUGCUGUGGCUGUGGUGUAGGCCGGCAGCUGCAGCUCCAAUUCGACCCCUGGCCUGGGAACCUCCAUGUGCCGCAGGUGCUGCCCUAAAAGACAAAAGACCCCCCCACCAAAAAAAAUGGGAUAGGGGAAGGAAUGGCUGAAACAUGACGGGGCUUCUUGAAGAACAGGUCUCGGAGCUCCCAUUGGCACAGCAUAAGUGGCGGAAACGGGGUAUAGCCCACAAAAUAAGCUCCUGUCCAGGAGUCCGUGCUGAUGGAAGCGAGUAACUAAGAGCCUCGGUGCGGGAAGGGCAGCCCCUCUGGGUUCCCGCCAGCCUGGGGGCAGGAGACGCCACCUGCAAGCCCGGGAGUGUCGGUGGCCUGGGAUGGGGGCAUGUGCUGUGCAGCAGCUUCGCUGGUCUGGAGGCCGCCCUGCAGGCACCUGCUCAGCAGUGAGGGGUCGGCGUGGUCCCCACGGCCCUACCCCCGCCACCUGACGCCCCGAGAAGGUGCAGGGUCACUUCUGCGGUUUUCUUGGCAGGACGGCAUCACCUCAGUGUAGUGAGAACACGCAGGCCAGCCGGGCCCGAGGGACAAACUGUGACGGGAAGACGGGUGCGCCUCAGAGGCGCCUGCCGGGGCCAGGGUCCUGGGAGGCCUGAGGACCCGCAGGCCAGGUGGCGCUCAGAGGCGGUCCUCUGGGGAAGGGUGCCCACACGCCGGCCUGUCUCUCUAACCUUUUGGAAAUCUGGAAUUAUUUCAAAAUAAAGAGUUAAAAAAAAAUGCUUGGGGGAGUUCUGUUGUGGCACAGCGGAAAUGAAUCUGACUUGUAUCCUGAGGCUGCAGGCUCGAUCCCUGGCCUCCCUCGGUGGGUCAGGGAUCCGGCAUUGCUGUGAGCUGUGGUGUAGGUCACAGAUGCGGCUCGGAUCUGGUGUUGCUGUGGCUGUGGUGUAGGCCGGCAGCUGCAGCUCCACUUCGACCCCUAGCCUGGAACUUCCACAUGGAACAAAAAAGCCCUGAAAAGACCAAAAAUAAGAAAAAUUGGGGAGUUCCCAUUGUGGCACAGUGGAAACUAAUCCGACUAGUCCAUGAGGACGCAGUUUGAUCCCUGGCCUCGCUCAGUGGGUUAAGGGCUCGGAUCUGGCACUGCUGUGGCUGUGGUGUAGGUUGCAGGCAGGGCUCGGAUCUGGUGUGCCUGUGGCUGUGGUGUAGUCCUGCAGCUGCAGCUCUGAUUCAGCCCCUUGCCUGGAAAGUUCCAUGUGCCUCUGGUGCGACCCUAAAAAGCAAAAAAAAAGAAAAAA